AGAAGAAGAAGAAGUAGGUUUGACAGCUUGUGCCAACGCGGUUUCCACCACAGGCUCUAAAUUUCCAACAAUAGCAUCUUGGUGACUCCACAUAGACAUGGAUCCAUCUAUACAGGAUGGACAGUAUAAGCCAACAGCCGAUGGACAAAGCAGCCUGUGCCAUUAGGUGGAUGGAGGGAUCAUCUGUCUAGGCAUUGAAGAUCUGUUCACUUCUCAGCAUCUAUCGAAUUUAUCAAGUGGAUCCCUUUCGUGAAUAAAGACGAAGCUCCCACAAGCCAACAGCAAGCAAAUGGCUGUCUUCCCAUCUGCUCACAUUCUGUGCUGCCUGCCAGGGGUGUUUACUUCCAGAAUAUCUGGAGAAGCUGUGACCAAACAGAAGGCCGUUUCGGAGGAACUGCUCAGAGUGCAUUACAUCCCGUGGAAAAACAACCCAAACCCCCGAGAAACGCACCUGUGGGAGAGCCCUGCUCCGUUCCCAGUGUCGCUUUGCGCACACUUGGCAGCCAGGAUCCCUACGAUUGUUGUGGUUCAUCUGAGGCUUCCUGCUCUCUCUGAAAUGCCGGUGUUUGUGAAAUCGCUCCUCGCCUCGGAUAAACACUUCCCUGUCACUACA